CCCCAGAUGGCUACUUUCAGCACUUCGCCAACAACCCACUACGACCCUCGAAUCAGAUUGAACAUCUGGCGCAAGAAGGCAGAAAAUUCCCAAACCACCGCAUCUCCAAACAAUUCUAUCCUCAACCGCUACAGGUCAAAACUAGCUCCGGAAGGACGCCAGCGGUUGUGCAGUCGUUUGAUACUGUUAUCAAUCAGAGUUGUCACUUGCGCUCAGUGUCCAGCCAGGCUGCCGAACUGUCGCGAUCAAGAGACCGUCGCUGAAUGAUAGUGUGAGGAGGUGAUCGGCAGAGAUUAUCUCCACGGGUGGCGAAAAAAUGACCGGAAUGAAACGAGAGAAGCGCGACUUUCCUCCGACAACCUAAACGCUCCACUUGAAAAUAGAACACCACGCGCUAAAGCGUUCACUCUCGCCUAGGCUCACACGGUGCCAGCGUUGAAUUCUCGCCCUGGUCCCCCCUUGACGUCAGCUUCAAAGGAGC
rnacentral:lncRNA from 1 species